rnacentral:rRNA from 1 species
AACGAGCGCUGGCGGCAUACCUAACACAUGCAAGUCGAACGAACCCUUCGGGGUUAGCGGCGCUGGGGUGCGUAACGCGUGGGAAUCUGCCCUUUGCUUCGGAAUAACAGUUAGGAAUGACUGAUAAUACCGACUACUCCGUCUUGGGAAAGAUUUAUCGGCGAAGGAUCGGCCCGCGUCAGAUUAGCUAGUUGGCGGUGUAAUGGACCACCAAGGCUACGAUCUAUAGCUGGUCUGAGAGGAUGACCAGCCACACUGGGACUGAGACACGGCCCAGACUCCUACGGGAGGCAGCAGUGGGGAAUAUUGGACAAUGGGCUAAAGCCUGAUCCAGCAAUGCCGCGUGAGUGAUGAAGGCCUUAGGGUUGUAAAGCUCUUUUACCCGGGAUGAUAAUGACAGUACCGUGAGAAUAAGCUCCGGCUAACUCCGUGCCAGCCGCCGCUGUAACAC